rnacentral:rRNA from 1 species
AACGAACGCUGGCGGCAUGCCUAACACAUGCAAGUCGAACGACACCUUCGGGACUAGUGGCGCUUGCGUGCGUCAAGCGUGGGAACCUGCACUUAGGCUUGGAAUACCUCUUCGUCAGGGGUGCUAAUACAGGAUAAUGUAUUCGGACACCAGAUUUAUCGACUUUGGAGGGGCACGCGUUGGUUUAGCUGGUUGGUAGGGUAAAAGCCUACCACGGCGUAGAUCGAUAGCUGGGCUGAGAGAAUGAGCAGCCACACUGGGACUGAGACGCGGCCGAGACUCUUACGGGAUGCAGCAGUGGGGAAUAUUGGACAAUGGGCGGAAGCCUGAUCCAGCAAUGCCGCUUGAGUGAUGAAGUCCGUAGGGUUGUAAAGCUCGUUUACCCGGGAUGAUAAUGACGGUACCGGGAGAAUAAGCACCGGCUAACUCCGUG